UACGUAGGGGGCUAGCGUUGUCCGGAUUUAUUGGGCGUAAAGAGCGUGUAGGCGGCCAAGUAGGUCCGGUGUGAAAACUCGAGGCUUAACCUCGAGAUGUCAUCGGAAACCAUUUGGCUAGAGUCCGGAAGAGGAAAGUGGAAUUCCUGGUGUAGCGGUGAAAUGCGUAGAUAUCGAGAGGAACACCUGCGGCGAAGGCGGGUUGCUGGGCUGACACUGACGCUGAGGCGCGAAAGCCAGGGGAGCGAACGGG
rnacentral:rRNA from 1 species